UGUCAAUAUCGUAUUUAAGUUAAAAGGACAUUAUUUUUUACGUCACAUUGUCGCUUCAAUAAUUCUAUAGAACAUAUAGUUCAUAUCGCACAAGUGGUUCUCCAUGUACUCGGUACGACAUUUUGUAGAAUACUGAAUCAUGCAUUUGGAAAUGAUAAACAAUAAAGAGAGUGGAGAAUAGAAUUAUCGACGUUAUCUCUCAACAGCCGACGUUUCAUUAAAAUUAUUGAUGUUACAGAUUACUAUUGAAAUCGGGUAGGUUAAAAAUUGAGAAAAUAUUUAAAGCACAUUAGCUCCGUUCGUGACGUUUAUAUCGUACUGAGAGAUCUUCAACACUGGAUCUAUUUAAUACAUUACUUAAACAUUGUUUUGAUAUUUCAUACAAUGCCUAGGUCAUUUAAACAAUUUUAUAGAUUAUCAACUAUAUUUUAUGUUUUAUAGAAUUCCUUUUAAACAUCAUACAAAAAGUUAAGGUUAAAGUUAAAGUUAUAUUGCCGUUAACAUAUACGAGUACACCGCUACACAUUAUAUUCCCGGACGAGAAAUUUCGAAAUUACGAAACUUUUUAAACGCUUUCGCCGGAACCGCGGCGCAAAUAGAUUUCUGGUAUAUAGUAUCAUCUGUUGGCUGUGAAUUAUUUAUGGAGGGUUGCGUGACCGCACGACAAAAUGGAAAAAAAAAAUUGAAUUUAAUUCGCCCGUUUCAUAAUGCGUCACGAGUUUACGACUAUAGCAGGUAAUAAAAGGUAAUUAAAGUUACCUGUUAAUUAUAAUCGUGCGUACACCGUAUUUUAUGACGUAACCGCAAAGCUAAUGUACAAACAGUUUACCGGCAACUCCGAAUCGUUUGAAUUUUUUUUUUAUAUUUAUAGAUUUUCAACGGAACAUGGUCAUCACCCCGGGAACAUCAUCGGUAUCUCCCGUAAACGUGUGUCAAGAUGCUGACGUUGCACCUGUACCAGAAUCCCGUACAAUUUUUUUUCAGUCUUAGGAUUGGCGUUUCUGUAAAGGUGUAUUAUGUUUAAAAAUACGUAUUUUUUUAAUUUUUUUUUUUUUGGUAAUUUUUGGUUAUGACAUAAACAUAUUGAAAAUAAAUAAUUGUUAUAACUAUAUGAUAUAUAUAUGUCAAUUUAAAAUAUUAGAAUCAAGCAAAAGAGCCAUAUAUCAGACACUUAUUUUAGUUAAGAAACUAUAACAUAACAUGAUAAUUAUAAUAAGAUAUCUGAAAAUCUAAAAGAGCCGAUACUGGGGACCGGUGAGGCCACUGUUGUAGAUGAGAAGUUGGGAAGGUAGGAUACAAGGUUAUUCCAGUUAUAUCUGUAAACAACGAUAAACCAUUGCUGAUGAAAGACGAUUCCGAGCGCAGUACGGUAAUACAUAAUUUGAAGUUCCAUCAUUUUUUUUAACCUAACCUUCUUACGUUUUUUGCUGAUUAUUAUGAAAAGUAAUUUCAAAAUUAAAAAAACAAACUGCAUCAUUAAAAGCAAGAUUAAUAAUUCAACAAAAAGUUCUUUUGUCGUUUUUUAAUUAGAGCCAUAUUUGAGCUAGAAAACUUGGUAGAUACUUAAAAAUAACAUAUAAAAUAAUGAAAUCGUGUAAAAUAAUAUUUUUUUUCUGGGUUAAUCGUUUUUAUUUUAAAUACCGUUUCGAAAAUCAAAAAAAUGACUGAUGUAUUUACUAAGCAGAUAAAAUUGACUUUCAGAAAAGGUGCUACACUUAUACAUCGGAGCAAGAUUUUUUUGGAUAAAAGUGGUCUAUGGUAUAAAGAAAAAUAAAGUAGGUACCAUUGUAAAAAUAUUAAAAUCAGAAAAAAAAUCGUCCAAUGAUUUUGGAAAUUUUACCACGUCUAGGUAAGUCCAAUAUAAGUAUUAUUACUAAGUUUCAAGUCUCUGCGUUAUUUAUAAUCGAAUUAUAGCAAAAAAACUCCCAACAAUUAAAAUUACUUAAAAAAUCAAAAGUGGCUCAAAAGUUUUGGCGAUGAUACCACCAUAAAGUAGAUCAAAAGGCAACAGAAAAGGUGUCUUGUGAAUUUUCGAGUAAAUCAUUUAUUCUGGUAGAAACGUCGUCCAUGUUUUUAUAAAAUAAUGAAAUCGUGAAAUUGUACGUUUUCCUAUGUUUUAUCCUACUUAAGUGCUUUUAUUUAAAAAAUGGCGUUGAAAAUUUUAAAAAUUACCUCUAUAAAGUACCAUCUGGACAAUAUGUAGUUUUUAGAAAAGUUGCUACACGUUAAAAAAUCAGAGCAAGUUUACUAAGAAAAAACGUGUCCACAGACUAAAUGAAAAAAAAAAAUUAAUUUCUUAGUAAAACCAAUAGCUCCCUCGCUACGCUCGGAAUCGAAAAUUCUCAAAAUAAACACCGCAAAAUAUUACAGCUGUUUGAUAACCAGUUUAAGAUUGUAUGACAAAAAUUUCCCGGUUCAUACAACAAAUUGUCAACAGUUUGAACAUUUUGAAAUAUCAAUAUAGUGGUUGUUAUUACUUAUGAAAGUAUUAGACUGAUUAGA